AAUUUAAUCAGCGUUUUGUACAUAUACCAUGUGUGUUAUUUAAGUUUAAAUUUGCAGAUAUAUAUUUUAGUUUUAAAUAUUGGUUGUAUCUUCAAAAUCGACAAAGUGGUAGUUAAUUAAAUUCUUCAAUGUAAGAUUUACAAGAUUAAAGUUAAGUGGGAGUAAACUUAAGGAUUGACAAAGGAACAAUUCCUACCAAUAUAUUAUCUAAUUAAAGUAAUCACGGCUGAGUUCCUCUCCUCCUAAAUGUCCUUCAUAUUCUUGUACAUUUUGUUGUAUUUUUAAAUAAUGCACAUGUUAUAUGAUUCCAUCACUACAAAUAUAUGUAUGACAAAAUAUUGAUGACUCAUGAACAUGUAAUUUCUUUUCAUGUAAACAAAAAGCUUUUCCUGUUUUAUAAUAUAUUAAUAAACACCUUGAAA
rnacentral:lncRNA from 1 species